rnacentral:rRNA from 1 species
UACGAAGGGGGCUAGCGUUGCUCGGAAUCACUGGGCGUAAAGCGCACGUAGGCGGAUUGUUAAGUCAGGGGUGAAAUCCUGGAGCUCAACUCCAGAACUGCCUUUGAUACUGGCGAUCUUGAGUCCGGGAGAGGUGAGUGGAACUGCGAGUGUAGAGGUGAAAUUCGUAGAUAUCUGCAGGAACACCCGUGGCGAAAGCGGCGAGCUGGAUCACUACUGACGCUGAGGAACGAAAGCUAGGGGAGCAAACAGG